rnacentral:rRNA from 1 species
UACGAAGGGGGCUAGCGUUGCUCGGAAUGACUGGGCGUAAAGGGCGCGUAGGCGGCUCAUACAGUCAGAUGUGAAAUUCCUGGGCUUAACCUGGGGGCUGCAUUUGAUACGUGUGGGCUUGAGUGGGGAAGAGGGUCGUGGAAUUCCCAGUGUAGAGGUGAAAUGCGCAGAUAUCGGGAGGAACACCAAUGGCGAAGGCGGCCUUCUGGACAGUGACUGACGCUGAGACGCGAAAGCGUGGGGAGCAAACAGG